UUCAUUAUGAAGGAUAGUUUUGCUGACAUGGAAUUCUCAAUUGACAUUCUUUUUCUUUCAGCACCUUGAAUAUGUUAUACCACUGCCUUCUGACCUCCAUGGUAUCUGAUGAGGAGUCAGUAUUUAGUGUUAUUGAGGAUAUCCUUUAUCAUUUUAUCAUGCAUGGUUUUUUUUUUUUUUUUUUUUUUUUAGGAGUUUCGCUCUUGUUGCCCAAACUGGAGUGGAAUGGGGCAAUCUUGGCUCUCUACAACCUCCACCUCCCUGGUUCAAGCAAUUCUCCUGCCUCAGCCUUCUGAGCAGCUGGGAUCAUUGUUCUCAUGAUGCUUUCAAAAUUAUCUUUUAGUUUUGGGCAUUUAAUAAUUUGACUAUAAUGGCUCUAGGUUUAGAUCUUUUAAAUUUAUUCUACUUGGAGUUCAUUGAGCUUCUUGGAUGUGAAGAAUAAUAUUUUUAAUUAAAUAUCAAAUUUUCUUGGGCAUUAUUUUCUUAUGCAUUCUUCCUGCCCUAUUUUCUCUCUUCUUCCAGGACUCCCAUUAUACAUAUGUUGGUAUGCUUGAUGGUAUCCCACAGACCACCAUUUAUAAUAGCUUAUUUAAGGUCUUGACUAGUAAGUUCGAUAUCUGGGUUUUCUCAAGGACAGUUUUUUUAACCAGUUUGUUUCUCUUGUGGGAGCCAUACUUUCCUUCUUGUAAGCAUGUUUCUUUUCUUUUGUUUUUUUUAAACUGGACAAUUUGAAUGAUACAUUGUGGCAAUCCUGAAAAUCAGGUUUUCCCUCUCCUCAGAGCUUGUUGUUGUUGCUGUUUGUAUAUUUAGUGACUUUUCUUGAUUAAUUUUGCAGUCUGAACUCUUUGCAUGUGCAGCCACUGAAAUUUCUGCUAUGGUAACUUAGUGGUCAGCUAAUGACUGGACAGAUUUUCUUAAAUAUUUUGAACCAAAAAUUCUCCACUCUUUGCUGAGGGGUUCUCUGUGUGUUUUGGGGUGCACCUCCAAUGCAUUGGCCAGAAAUUUACAACUGUUUUUUAGUCUUCACUUUCUGCUUGCACAGAGCCUAAAGGUCAGAGGUGAGAGCAUAGGUCCUUUUCAGGUCUUUUCUGGACAGACUCAUGGACUUGUACAUGUUUAUGGCCUUCUAGAUUACCAAGAAUAUGUAGGACCUUUUCAAAGUCCUCUAUGGCUGUAUAAAUAUCCAGCUUUUUCUUUUAAGUUUUUUGGCCAACUUCUUGCUUGCCCCAACUGGUAUUGCUGCCCUAGGCCACUGCAGUUUUAAACCAUUGCCACUGAUUGUUUUUGACAAACAUCUUGGGGAUAAGACUUUUUACUAAGUGAGAUCUGAAUCAGGUUAAAUAGAGACAAGCCCUGAGGGGAGACAGGUAAAAUAGUAAUAAUUUUCUGGGGAUAGUAUUUUAGGGGAGCUCCGAACCUUCUUCCACCUCUCAUGGCUGUUAAGUGACUGUUUUUUUUUUUUUUCCCAAGCUAUCAUGUUUUUGAGGCUGCUGUAGAGCUGGGCAGAAGGGGAUGAGAAUAGACCAAGUUAAAACUUCAUAAAGCUCAUUGUUUUUACCUAGUUUCAGCUGUUUUUCUUUAAUAAAUUCUCCUCAGUUUGUUGCAAGCCUUUAGUUAACAUUCAGAGUUCUAAAUAAGUUUAUUUUGAUAAUUUCUUCAGUGUUUUUUUUUUGUUUUGUUUUGUGGAGGAAUAGAUUUUCAGAGGUGCUUACUCCAGCAUCCUGGAGGCGCUUCUCCUUUUGGUGACAUUUAAAUGCAAUCUCAUGUGGAAGGAGGUAAAAAUGCAUGUAAAUAUGAUAUCUUGAAAUGACUAAUUUUUAAAAACUGUAUUUUCAUAUUUCUUUUAUUCCUGUGAGAUACUAGCUACAACACAUCUCACACAGGCAAAUUAUUUUAUAGUUAUGGUUCAAGGUUUGCAAACAUGGAGUGUUAGCUUAAAAAAGAACGCAUCUCAUGAUGUAUUUUGAAAAAAAACAAAAGUUAGUGGAUGGUCAUACACCCAUAUGCCCUUUUAUCAAAGGAUGCCAUUUAGAAGACACAAAUAUUUUUCUCUCUUGACAAUUUUUUUUUGAUCACACACAGGAAUUAUCAUUAUAGGGUUUUAUUUUUAUUGGUGGACAAAACCAAGCAUCAAAUUUUAUGGUUCAGAUUAAAUAAUUAUAACCAAUGGUUAUCUGAGAACCGUGAUUCUUUUAACCUUUGUUUAUCCUACUUGAUUUAGGUGAAUGAACCAAAAAGGAUUUAAUAAGUGAUGAAGUUGGACCCAGCACUUUACUGUACCCUUGUAGGAAUACAAGAGAUGAGGCCCAGAGGCCCCAGUCUUUGCUGUCUUUUAAAAAUCUCCUAACAUAUUCUGUCUUUUCUUAUUCCCCAUGAUCUUCAGAAUAUUCUCUACAGAAAAAAGCAGUUUAACUUAUGAAGAAAAACUCUACCUAGUAUUUACAAAUCAGCCCUUGACUGAAAGCAUAAUAAAAAUAUCAAUUUUCAGUUGGCAGACCAAAUAAAAGUUCUAUUUUUGACAUUUUUCCUUAUGUUUUUCAAAUGUGCAACUAAAAUUGUUAUGAUAGUUUCACAUUUCCAUAAUCCAUUUCUUUCUUUUUUUAUAUUGGAUCUGUUUAGGUCCCCAAACCCAGAAUACCAAUUUUAUUUUCAUCUGAUUCCUCUUUUUUUCAAGAAAACUGCAAAUUAAGUCCUUUUAUUUUAUUCCAAAAACCAGCUUCCUUUCUUUCCUCCAUCCCUGGUUUCUCAAAUAAUUGCUCCUUUGUGAAGAACCGAACAAUAGCAAACCACUGGUAAUCUGUUACUGGUUUAAGUCCUAUAUUUAACCAGCAAAUUGUUUAAUCAGAAACAUAAUCUGACCUAUUGGGUAACCAAGUUUUGUUUAAUAUAUCUGAGAAUAAUGCGUUCUUGUUUAGCUUUCCAUACACAAUGGAGGACUUUUAGUAUAAAAUCGGAUGCACCAAAAUUAUAUCAUUUGAUAACAUAUGAAAGUGGAAAAUUAGAAGUUUAACCAAAAUUUGACUUUUAUUUUUAUCAUUCCACAGAGAAAUGGUUCCCUUUUCUACUUCUCCCAAUUUUUUUUGAAGCUCAGAAUUCUUCAUUAUUGCCAAAUGUACAUUUUGGAUAUGCUCAUGAUUAUAUAAUAUUGUGUUUCAGAAUUGAAUACUUUGUGGGUUCUUUCUAGAGACACUGUCUUUUAAACUAAUUCCAAAGUAGAAAUAAAAAUGCUGAAAAUUUGGGAUUUUGAGAUAGGAGCCCAGUUCAAUGCAGUUGCUCCUGGGCAGUCUUCAUCCCUUACCUUGGAUGGGUCUCCCUUUUAUUCUAUUAACCCUUUGAUAAAUCACUUCAGAUUUUGAGCAACUUGUUGGGUUCUCUUUACAACAUUUUCUAUGAAAUGGUUGCUCUGCACUGGAUUGAGAAAUAAGGUACCUGGGUUUUCAUCCAACCUAGUUAUUAACUAGAGUAACUUGAGGCCAGUCAUUUAUUUUUGAGCCUGUUUCUUUCUCUAUAGAAUGGAGCAGAGAGUGUGUAUGUGUUGGAAGGGGGAAGGUGUUGGGCUCAAUGAGCUUCAAGACUUCUUUAGGCUCUUAUUUUCUAUUUUUCUGUGGCUCAAAGCAGAAAUAUUUCUGGCUAUUCAAUAGAAGCCUUAAUUUAUCUAGUGCUUUUGACUUUUCCUGAUAGUCAUCAUCUUUCUAUAUAUUUCCACAUGUAUAUUUACGUUUAAUAUAUAUGUAUACACACAUAUAUGUGUAUGUAUACAUAUUCUGUCUUCUAUAUUCUAGCUAGUUAACAUUUAUUGAGUGGUUAGUAUGAGGCAGAUACUAUGGUAACAGCUUUAUGUUUAUAAACUUACGUAAUCCUCACAAUAAUCACCCAGGAUAUGUAUCAGGGAAAAGAGGCACAGAGAGGUUAAAUAACUUGCUCAAGAUCACCCUGAUAGCAAGUAGCUGAACUACGAUUAAAACUCAAGUAGCCAGUACCAGAAUCGUGUUCUUAAUCAUUGCACUAUACCUUAUAAUUCUGUGUAAGAAUCCUAUGUUCCAUCUUAAUGUAGCUCCAAGCUGCUUUUUAUUCUUUGCCUUUCACUGUAAAAUUGUAUAAACUAUUAUUUCUCACUCACUGUUUCUCCAUUCCUUCACACGCUAAUUUCUCAACACCUUACAAACUGGCUGCUCUUUCUCAUUAUCAAGGAUCGUAGCACCUAAUUCAGCAUCUCUCUCUUCCACAUCCUUUUGUUAUAGUCUCUGACUACAAGUAGAUACUUGAUUCUCCUUUUUGCUCUACUUAUCAACACUAAAUGCCUUCGUCUCUUCUUUACUUCAGUUGUACACAGGUACCAGUGUUUGGGACCUUGUCACCAUUUGUUUUGUUUCUACAACAUGGUCUGCACUUUCUGGCCUUGACAUCUUUGCUGACUUGGUUCUCUUUACCUGGAAUUCCAAGUUGUAUUUGUUCUUCAAGACCUGGCAAAAUGUGAUUUUCUCUAUGAAUGGAUGGAUCUCACUUUGUGAUCCAUCCAACAAGAAGUCCUCUUUUCUUCCUCUAAAAUCCCAUAACACUUGAUCUAAAUCUCACUGAUGGCAUCAAAUUUUUUGUUUUUUUAUUUUUUACCAUGUAUUAUAGUUAUUCUAGCAUGGGUUGAAACUACUACUAUGGGCUGUAGAUUCUGGGGAUACAAAGUGAAGACAUAAUUCCAACUUUCAAGAAGUUUUGAGGCUGGUGGAAGAGAUAUUUAUUUAAAUAUUCAACAGGGAGAGGAGGAAGAAGGGGUGAAAGGGCCAUGCCAGCUAGGGGUCCUGCAACUGACAGUGUACUGCAAAUGUGACUCUUCAGGGGCUUUGCUGGAGAGACUGAUGGGUUCUGGGGAGUUAUCAUCCUCUGCAACUGCACAGAGGAUCUUUAUUUUCUUUCUCUGGGAAAUUUCUGGCAGAGGCACUUGAGGCCUGCUGUAAUCAUUUAGGAGUGUAACUGUUAGUAGUUUCUGGGUGACAGCAGAUAAUGAUUGAGAGGGUAUCAAGAUACUCUGAUGAAAGUAGAUCUGGGUAGGGUUGAAGGAAAUUGUAGAUGGGAGUCUGGAGUAAGCAGAAGACCAUUAAAGUUAGGUUAGUUAGUUAGGUUAGCUAAGCAUACAUUUAAGAAAAAUAAUUCUAAUUAUAAUGGUAAUAAGGCUAAUAUUAAUGGAAGAUUUACUAUCUUCAGCACUAUCCUAAACUCUCCAAGUAUAUUAACUCAUUUAUACCUUUCAACAUUUCCACAGGUUAAAUACUAUUAAUAUCCCUAUUUUACAGAUGAGAAAACUGAAAUACAGAAAAUUUAGGUCAUGGAUGGAAGGGCUUCCUUUUUAGUUACGUUGUAUGGGAUUCUAGAAAGAAAACUUAUUUUGUUGGUUGUGAGAAUGUGGAGAAAUCUUGCCCAGAAUCUCAUGGUCAAUAAGUAGCAGAACAUGGAUUAAAGUCCUGUAAUUCUGACUUUUUUUUUUUUUUUUUUUUUUUGAGACAGUCUCGCUUUGUCGCCCAGGCUGGAGUGCAGUGGCAUGAUUUUGGCUCACUGCAACCUCCACCUCCCGGGUUCAAGUGAUUCUCCUGCCUCAGCCUCCCUAGUAGCUGGGAUUACAGGUGCCCGCCACCACAUCCAGCUAAUUUUUGUAUUUUUAGUAGAGACGGGGUUUCACCAUGUUGGCCAGGCUGGUCUCGAACUCCUAACCUCAGGUGAUCCACCCACCUUGGCCUCCCAAAUGCUGGGAUUACAGGCGUGAAUCACUUCUCCAAGCCUGUAAUUCUGACUUCUUAUCCUACUGUCAUACUGUUCACUUCCCUAAUUCGUGAGUUCUUGCUGAUGGUGAAGUAAGGAGAUUUCCCAGUGUAACACAGCCACCAGCUUUUAUUCCUCCCUGGUCAGGAUGCAUUGGCAGGUAGAACAGCUGGGUGGAGUUUUGGGAGGCAGAGAAGGGAAAGACAAGCAGGAUCCAGAGACACAGGAUACCCUGAGCCCUCUCAGGAAAGUAUUAGGACCAGACUGGCCCUUAGUUUGGGUUCUUCCAUCCCUGGGAGUCUCAGUUACUGGCAUAAGGUUGGCCCUCCCUGAUCACUGCUGGAAUUUUAGGCCACACGAGCACCAUGUUUCUCCUCCAGCCAUCAUGUCUCACCCUCCAGUGGCAGAGGUAGAUCAGGGUGAAUGAUGUCUGGAACUCUCCAUUCCUCAAUGUAAAAAUCAUAUUCUCUCUACCCAUGGAGGAAUAACUUUUUUGGAGGACAAGGAUCAAAGCUCAUUGCUACCCUACCCUUAGUCUGGGCUGGGAAUUUUUUGAAGGAUGGAUGCCGUGUUGCCUGUCAAGACCCAAAGUCCCUAUCCCCUCUACAUCCUGAUGUCCCACUGUUUCCAUCCUGCCACUUACAUGCCUCCACUUCAUCCUUUAGCAAUUUAUCUUUCUCUACUGUGAGAUUUAGACACCUCCUGCUGCAUUAGCUACAGUUCCUUCAGCUUAUUGGAGUAAGAACUGCUGAAAGAGCUGGGCACCCAUGGUCCACUGCAUUUCCCCACUUGGUUCUUUUUAUUCUUCCUCCCACAAUGGCCCUGAGAACUCAACGAGCUUUUGUGUUCAUAUUUCCCCAGUCGACUCCUAAAGGUGACUUCCAGGGCAGGCAAGGGAUAUUCUCUCUAGUCUCCUUCUGUCUUCUUUGUUUAGGACGCUGACAUUUCCAGCCUUCUCAGGUAGGUUUUAUCUCAGGUAUUCAUUCAUUCAUUCCACAUUUAACAAAUAUUUUAUAAAUCCCUACUAUAUGCUAAGAACAGUUGUAGACACUUGGAGAUAUGCUAGUAAACAAUAUAAUAGUGCUUACCUUCUAGGGGGUAUAAAUAAAUAAACUAUAUAGUUUUUUUUUCUUUGAGACAGGAUCUUGCUCUGUUGCCUAGGCUGGAGUGCAGUGGUGUGAUCAUAGCUCAUUGCAGCCUCAAACUUCUGGGCUAAAGCGACCCUCCUCCCUUCACCUCCUGAAUAGCUAGGACUAUAAGCAUGUUCCCCCAUGUGGCCUUUUUUUUUUUUUUUUUUUUGAUAGAGACAAAGUCUGUGUUGCCCAGGCUGGUCUCAAACUCCUGGCCUCAAGGUAUCCUCCCACCUCAGCCUUCCAAAGUGUUGGGAUUAUUGGCGUGAGCCACCAUGCCUGGCCUGCAGUGUGUUAAUAAGCUCUAACAUGAAACAAAAGAUGAGAAAGGGGGAUAGAAAAUGGUAAUGGAGAUAAAAUACUAGAAAGGGACACCAGAUUUCACUGGUAAGGUCCUUUAGGAAGGAAGGGAACAAUGUAGGUGGCUACAUGGGGAAGAGUAGCCCAUGUAGAGGGGGCAGCAAGUGCCAAGGCCCUGGGGUUGGUUGUCCGAUCUGAGGAGGUGUAUUGGCAUAAUCUGAUUAGUAGGAGCAGGUUGGAGCUGCCUGAAUAGGGCUAUAGUUUAGAAAUACCCUGUAGAGAGGAAGUGGUGCCUGGUAUACUGUACCAGGUACGGCAACUGAAAGAAGAUUUAGUUGGCAUUGCAAAGCCUGGAAUCUAAGGAGAGAGGACACAUAUAGGUGGCAAUCUGUGCCAGAGGUCAGUAAUGGGUGGAGAGAAUGUAUUUAAUGAGUGGAUAGCAAGAGUGGUGGGAAUUUGCCUAUUGUCGGCUCUAAAUAUUCUAUGCUGUGCUCUGUGAUGUCAGAUCUGAGGCUCUGCAAACUGCAGUCAGAGAUUCCUUUACCAAUAGGCUUCCUCUUAGGUUCUGUCAAGAGGAGGCAGAAGAUGAAGACUGAAAGUCAGGAGGAGGAGAGAAGAGAGUAAUUUUCUAUUUCUUGAUAUCAAUGUCAUUGCUCCAGAAGUGGCACUUUGCCCCAGCAGUGGCAUUUCAUAUCACUGUGGCAGUUUAUUAUGGCUUCCAGCUUCUUUCCGCAUUCCCAGAACCAGCCUCAACUUCCUUCCUCAAUGGUACCAGCACCGUUCAAUGUUAUGAACCAUCUCAAAGGUCAGAGCCCUAGCUUCACGGUGCCCACUUCUUCUAGUGCCUAAGUUCUGAUAGCCCCAACCCUCACCUUUUCAUCCCCCAGCCUUGGGAUGGUAAUUGCUUUCUGCUUUAUGCAGUUAUUAAAUUUCCGCUCAGUCAGCUCUCCAACACCUGUGUGAUCAAUCAAUUCCUUAUUAAAUCCAUGCUCUUGAAAUACCUAAUAUGGUGUCUACUUUCCUGACCGGAUCUUGACUCUGUCUACUUGUUGACCAAGUACUUGCCUGGAUUUCUGAGUAAUACCUCCCUGUGGAUUCCGUGCUCUGGGCUCUACUCCUACAUCAAAGAGUUACUGGGAAUGCCAACAUGCGUCUCUGAGUGGUUUCCUUGUCUGUCAUAAUUGGAAUAACAAUACCCAUCUUCUAUUCUGGUAGCAGUGUUAGUUAAUUUACUAGAAAAGGCACCUGUACAGAGACCUGAAAAGGGCAUGACUUCAAAUCACAGAAGCCUGUUUGAUGCAGUUUAAGCAGCAAAUGGGAACACAGUAUAUGGACACUAGUGUCAUAUGGAAUCCAAGAGCAGGAAGAGCAUCUCGACCUUGGGAAGAGCUUGCAACUGAGAACUCGAAAACUGCCAGGAGUCUAACUUGCCUUUGCUUUUUUCUGCACAUUGACUUCAUUCUUUUUUCCCUGCUGGCCAGGUCUAUAGGGGAGGGAGCAGUACCAAGGUCACUGUAGACUGAGAAGACCUACAAACACCUACUCUCCUGGGCCUCAGUAAUGCCAAUGAAACUUGGAAUUGGGGUCCAGAUGAGAUGUAGGUCUUUAAUCCCAAAUGGACUAGCUGCUACUGAACAGAUCCCCCUAUCUCAGGCUUAGAUUGAUUCUAAGGAGGUGGGGAGGGAUGAGACUGAGUCUGCAGAUGAGGAUCCAGGGGUCUCGGUUGCAGGAAGUGAGAGAGAUGCAGACUCAGGACCCAUCUCUCCAUUCACUUCUGCCAGUUCUCUCAAGUGUAUUCCAGAUUUCUCGUGAAAAAGAAAAAAAUUCUACCUCCAAUCUUCAUUCUGUUGAAGAAACUGGGGCUCCCCAUGGGCUAAGCAAAGAAUGAAAGAUUUCAGGGCUUGAUCUGUGUUCUCAGAGAUUACUGACAUCCCAUAGGGUGAUCUUGUCUAGAUUCCAUCCCCCUCAAACCACUCCCCUGACCCCUGAUUGGUUUUGGGGUGCUUUGCCUAUUUAUUUUUUCUAUUUGUUUUAUUCACCUCAAAUCUCUUAAAUGUUUAAAAUGAAAACAGUUUAUGCACCUGUGUUCUUCUCUGGGACAUGGAGGACCUUAAAGAACACAGAUUCCAUCCAUAAGAUAAACAUCUGAGCCUUCCCAGAAACAGACAAGGAUUACAGAGAAUCAGAAUCUGGUCUUUAUCUCGAAAGGCAAUUUGAGUGCUGCUGGACAUUGCAAACUGGAAUUGUACAUGGAAAAAUAACAUUGGUGCUAUAAAUUCCUUUCUGCUUUGAAAUAUGUUGUGUGUUAGAAACAGAGAGGUAAUGUUUAUGGUGUAACUCAGAAUACUGGGAUAGAGUUAUGCAUUAAGAGUGGGACGAUAGGACAUUAUGCAAACAGAGUCCCUAAAGAGAGAUGUUUUAGUGGGUAAAAUAAUUUUUAAGAAUUAUUUAGAUACUCCCUACCAAUAAGUACUCACAGAUAUUAACCUCCCAGACUUCCACUGUCCUCCAGAGAUCGAUGGGAAAAGAGGAAUGAAUCACUAAAAAUAAAGCUCAAUAACUAAAAGAGCUUUAUCCUCCAAACUUCUUGGAUCAGUACAGUCAGUGGGGACUAUGUUGAUUCUCUCAUGGAUGCUGGAGAGACUCCAGCCUGGAAGCAAGGCAGCUGAGAGUCUUUAAGUUUCAUAAGAAGGGUUACUAUUAAGUAUAAGAUGAUUCCUGAAAACUGGGCCUGAGCAUGGAAAAGUAACACUGCUUCUCCAAGUUCACUCUGCUUGGACACAGGGGUGCAAGAGGUGCUGGGAGAUGGUUCAGCUAGCCGAGGGUUGUUUCCACAGAGUACAGACAAGGAUAGGGUUCAAAUGGCAGUGGGGAGAUUCAGGAUACAUAAAGCAGAACUUUUGACACUGAGUGUUGAUAAACACUGAGGACUGUCGAGAGAUCCUGUUUUCUGGAGAUGCUUAAAAGAAGGUUGCUAUCUUAUCUGACAGGGAUGGUUUAGGGUGCCGGACUGUAGCCUGGAGAAGGGUUUAUAUCCUUGAUCAUUAUAUAAAAUAAGUCAUUUAAAAAACUUUUUGUAGCCUCACUCUCUUCAAGGAAGCUAAAGCUGAGUUACAAUUCUGAGAUUUCUGUGUCUAUUUCUUCACCUCUCAUCUUAGAAUUUCUGCCGAGGCAAGUAAUUGCUAUUCUUUCUCUACAAUGAAAAAGAAAAUGAAAGAACAGCAAAGCAGGCAGGGAGACCAGAUAACCUCGUGCUCCAGAAUUGAGUGUAAAUUAAGAGUCUAGAGGCUCUGAGGUUUGUUAUUGAUGCCAAAUGGGCAGGAGGAGCACUGAGAAUCACAAGAACUGGAUUCAAACUCAGAUUCUGUUACUUAACAGCAAAAAACCUCAACUAAGUUACCAAGUCCCUGAGCUUCAUUUUCCUUCCCUUGAAGUGAGGAUAUUAAUAUCUGCACUGAGUACAUAUUGGGGCUGUCUGAGGAUCAGAUGAAGUCAUGUCUGUGAAAGCACUCCUUGAACUGUGAAAUAUUGUAUGUGGCAUUGUUAGAAACAGACAAAUAAGAAUCUUAUUUUGGCCAUUAACCUUAACUUUCUCUUAACUUUUCCGUUCAUCCGUGGGAGAGUCACCAGAUGGACUGAUUUGAAUUUUCCUUUUUUGAUUUCUCAUCUCUCUCUCUGGUGGACGUGCUAAGGGGUAGGAACAUAAUCAUUGAUGGGCUUCAGGAGGGCAAAGGAUGGGGAAAAAAAGGACAUCGAUGAUUUUCCAUAUGGAUAACAAGACUUCAAACUCUGAAAAACUAAGAAUUAACUAUUUCCUAACUGCUCUGAAAUUUUUCCUGUACACUACAGAAACACACAGCAUAUUAUUGUCACACAGACACACAUUUUGUUGUCACACAUACACACACGUGUUCUAGCUCUGGCAGGUAUGAUCUUGGGCAAAUUAACUUCUCUGUGCAUUGGUUUUCUCAUAUGGCCAUUGGGAAAAUAAUAGUACCCAUCCCAUAAAAUUCUUGUGAGUGUUAAAUGAAAUAAUAAAUGUGGAAUUCUUAUAACAGUGUCUGGUAUACAGUGUCAGAAGUUUUAUAUGUCAAAAGUUCUGCUUUAUAUAUCCUGAAUCUCCCCUCCUGCUAAUUGUACUCAAUAAAUUAUUAUUUCUGGAUCUUAUUUGAUCUUCACAACCCUGUGAAUUUUCAGUUCAUAUUGUCCCCCAUUUUACAAUUAGAAACGUGAAUGACUUGUUCAAGGUGACUCUGCCCCCUAGGGGUUUGUAAUUGGAUCACUUUCCAUGAAAGUGUCCAACAGGAGAACAGCACCUAGUAGUGUGCAGGGUUAGGACCCAGAAGAUAAAGUGAACACUCUCUUAGAGUUAAAAUUAUCUUUGAAAGACCUUUAAAUCACUUACAGUAUACAUACUUCUGUGGAUAUGACUUCAUAGGAUAAUUCUUAAGGACACUAAAAUUCGAGAAUCGUGGGGUAAAUUCAGGAAGACACUAAAAGCAAGUCUAUAUGCAGCUGUCUGAACAUUCAGACUAUUUUGCUUUUUAGAAAACUAAGGUGUUUCUAUUGUCUACAAGAGUUCCUCCACACUGAUUUUUAAAGACUAUUAAGCCUUUAUGCCUUAAUAUAUGUCAAUGGAUUUGUCUAUUAUGGAUAGAACAACCAGGAACAGGGAGUCUUAAGAAUUAGGUUCUAAAAUUGGAGGCCGGGCGCGGUGGCUCAUGCUUGUAAUCCUAGCACUGUGGGAGGCUGAGGCGGGUGGAUCACUUGAGGUCAGC
rnacentral:lncRNA from 1 species